GGGAAGAAUUUUUUCAGUGGGUGUGUUGUGAUUGGUAUUCUUUUGCUAGGUUCGAUGGUGGAUCGGUGGUAAUAUGGGAUUUCUCAGUUGUUCUUUUGAUUGCUGGGUUCUUUUGAUUGGUGUUCUUUUGUUGGCAUUGGUGGGUCUUUUGGAAUUGCUCUAUUUUGAAAAAAUUAUUAAAAAAAAAAUUGGUUUGCUUUUUGCGAUUCUGUGGUGGGUUUAAGAUUGUUCGAUAUAGUGUAAAGUGAGGAACAUUUUUUUUUUUUUUUGUUUUUUUAUUUUGGUGCUGUUGUCUUGAUAGAGGGUAAUAACUAUAAUUAUAUUGCCAUGAGGGUGUGUUCAGAGACUGUUCGACCGUUUUUUUCUUCCAGUGCCAAUCCUCAAACUUGUCUUGUAUGAUUGAGGCGGUAUUGUUGAUCUAUUUUGUUGAUUGGGGAAAUUUUGUGGUGAAACAUUCUAGUCAACUCAAAACAUUACCUUCUACAUGUUAGUAGAAAAUAUUUGUGCUUCCAUAUUGAUGUUCCACUUUACAGAACUGUAUGCAAAGUUUGUUUUAUUAAUCAUGUGUACCUACCUCUUAGGUUUUUGCAUGUUGCUUUAUAUCUGUGAAGAGAAAGCGAGAUCAUACCAAAUAUGUACUAAGGUAUAUCUCUAUCAUAAUUAUUUGUGUUAUCUCAGUAUGUUCUUGCUGCCCCUCAUAGGUCUGAGAUGGCUUCCUUUAUCUUGUUGAAGUAGUUGAACAGCCAAAAAUUAUGUUAUUUAAUGUAUACUCUUUAGCAUUUGAGCACUUAAAGUCAUAAACCAUAUGUGGGACAAGUGUAACAAGAAUGAGCAUCGUGAAUGUGAAUGAAACUGUUGACAGGCAUUAGUGGGAUAGUUUGACUUUUUUUUUAUUAUUAUUAAAUGGGAUAAUUGAAGUUAUUUCAUAGUAUUAGCAUGUUGUAAAUAUUGGGAAUGAAAAACAAGGGCUUGAUGUUAUGGCCUCUAUGAAUUUCAAUUUGCAUUUCACAUUUGCAAAACAAUUUGUGAGAUUCUUAUUAUGAUAUCACUCUUUAAAUUUUGAUGAGAUUUUCUGAGGUGGUUUCUUCAAAUUGGUAUCUUACUUCUUUCAUUAAUAAAGUCUCGAAGCUUAUAUUCCUUUAGUGAUUGAUUGCAGGUUUUAGCCAGAGGCAUUGCUUGUGAUAUAGCUUUGCUAUCAGUAGAAAGCAAAGAAUUUUAGAAAGAAGUUGAACAUCUUUGUUUAGGACAUUUGCCACGUCUUCAGGUUUAAAUUGUUGUCUUUCUUUGGUGGAAUAUGUUGUUUGUUCUAUUCAAUGUGUAUGGAUUUUGUCCUUUCUCAUUAUCCCUUUCAUCUCUAUGCAGAAGCUAAUAUAUGUUGUAUAACGAACUAACAAAUCAUCAGUAGAUGAUCCUUUUGAUGCCUUGGUUGAAUUAUUGUAGCUUGUUGACUAAUAACAAACAUAAAUUGCCAAAGGCAUAAAGAGCUAUAGGCGAUUUAGUAUCCUUAACUUCUGGAUCAUGAUGUCAUUUCUUGAUUCAUAUCUGAUUUCAAAUCUAUUAAUAUUAGUAUAUAACUGAUGUAAUGUCAUCAAAUUGAAUUGAAUUCCUCCCAUUUCCUAUCUCAUUUUUAAUAAUAUUAGCUGUAUCAACUUAAUGUAGCUAUACAAUUUCCACUAAUGUGUAAAUCUAGAAUUAAUUUAGUUAUUAUGUGAUUGUUAAAUACAGAGGUUAAAGUAUGUGGAUUGGUAUAUCUAUUUGACUAUUCCUGUCAGUAAAUCACUUGUUUGAAAUCUGAAUUACAUGGCUUCCUUAUGAGCAGGAUUUGGUAACUAUUGCAGGAUAUUCCCUUGGAGAAGACACCUUUUCAGUAACAAAGGGUGUCGUAUCAUGUAUAGAGAGAAGGAGAAUUUGUGUGUCUAUGGACUUCUAAAUAAGACAUGGAAAGUUAAUUUAUCUAUUGAGGAGGUGCCUCCUGAGCUUUCAGAACUAGCCUUAGAUAUAAAUCACGUUAGGGAUGGGAUGCAAAAGAAGGAUUGAUUGUCACUAGUUACCGACGCAAUUUUGAAAUAAAUAUUUAUUUUAGAGCAAGCUACCUUUCCGAUGUUGUUUUACCUGUAAUAUUGGAAUUAAGUGCCCAAUUCAUACUAAAACCUACUUGUAUUGUGAGAGUAAUCAUAUGUUAUCUUUUGUAUAUUUGAGAUUUGUUGGUUGACUGGAAACACACAUUAUAGAUGCUCAUUUACAUU